rnacentral:rRNA from 1 species
UUCAUGAAGCUGGAAUUGCUAGUAAUGGCAGGUCAGCAUACUGCCGUGAAUACGUUCCCGGGCCUUGUACACACCGCCCGUCACACCAUGAGAGUUGGAAAUACCCGAAGCCUGUGAGCUAACUGUAAAGAGGCAGCAGUCGAAGGUAGAGCCAAUGAUUGGGGUGAAGUCGUAACAAGGUAAC